GGCCGGGAACUCAAAGGAGACUGCCAGUGAUAAACUGGAGGAAGGUGGGGAUGACGUCAAGUCAUCAUGGCCCUUACGACCAGGGCUACACACGUGCUACAAUGGCGCAUACAAAGAGAAGCGACCUCGCGAGAGCAAGCGGACCUCAUAAAGUGCGUCGUAGUCCGGAUUGGAGUCUGCAACUCGACUCCAUGAAGUCGGAAUCGCUAGUAAUCGUGGAUCAGAAUGCCACGGUGAAUACGUUCCCGGGCCUUGUACACACCGCCCGUCACACCAUGGGAGUGGGUUGCAAAAGAAGUAGGUAGCUUAACCUUCGGGAGGGCGCUUACCACUUUGUGAUUCAUGACUGGGGUGAAGUCGUAACAAGGUAACCGUAGGGGAACCUGCGGUUGGAUCACCUCCUU
rnacentral:rRNA from 1 species